UACGGAGGGUGCAAGCGUUAAUCGGAAUUACUGGGCGUAAAGCGUGCGCAGGCGGUUUGUUAAGUCCGUUGUGAAAGCCCCGAGCUCAACUUGGGAAUUGCAGUGGAUACUGGCAGGCUGGAGUACGGUAGAGGAAGGUGGAAUUCCCGGUGUAGCAGUGAAAUGCGUAGAUAUCAGGAGGAACACCUGUGGUGUAGACAGCUUACUGGACCAUUUCUGACGCUGAGACACGAAAGCGUGGGUAGCAAACAGG
rnacentral:rRNA from 1 species